ACCUUUCUUCUCAAUGCCAAAAAGAUUUUUGGGCAUGAGAAGAGAGGGCACAGAUAGGGUGGGUGGCAAACAUGAUGAGUCAUGAUCCUUAUCUCCUUUCUAAUUUGAAUGCGAUCCGAAUUAAAGAUGAGGAGAUAAGAAGGAAAGAGAUCCGUUAUGUUUAGAAAGAAUGGUGGUGCCAAAUGAUUUUUUUUCUUAUUUUCUUUAAAGAGUUUGUUGGCAU
rnacentral:lncRNA from 1 species